rnacentral:rRNA from 1 species
KSCCUUAGAGUUUGAUCCUGGYUCMKAACGAACGCUGGCGGCGUGCUUAACACAUGCAAGUCGAACGUGAUCCGGAGCUUGCUCCGGUGAAAGUGGCGCACGGGUGAGUAACGCGUGGAUAAUCUGCCCUGGUAUCUGGGACAACMUCUCGAAAGGGGUGCUAAUACCGGAUAAGCCUACGGACUCUUCGGAGUCUGCAGGAAAAGGUGGCCUCUAUUUAUAAGCUAMCGUAUCAGGAUGAGUCCGCGUACCRUUAGCUAGUUGGUGGGGUAAUGGCCCACCAAGGCUACKAUGGUUAGCUGGUCUGAGAGGAUGAUCAGCCMCACUGGAACUGAGACACGGUCCARACUCCUACGGGAGGCAGCAGUGGGGAAUUUUGCGCAAUGGGCGAAAGCCUGACGCAGCAACGCCGCGUGAGUGAUGAAGGCUUUCGGGUCGUAAAGCUCUGUCGAGGGGAAAGAAGUGUAUUGCGGUUAAUACCCGCUUUACUUGACGGUACCCCUAAAGGAAGCACCGGCUAACUCCGUGCCAGCAGYCGCGGUAAUAC